rnacentral:sRNA from 1 species
ACUUAGCCCCGAUUGAAGCAAUUGUUUGAGCUCUUUUUUGUUUUUUUCAAACAAAAAAAGCGAGUGCGGAAAGCGGGAAAUAGC